ensembl:misc_RNA 7SK 7SK RNA
AGGUAUGAAUAUGGUCUGGCUGUAACUUCUGUCACCCCAUGAUUGGGGGUUGAUUUGGCUGAUCGGGCUGGCUAGGCUGGUGCCCCCUUCCUCCCUCCCUGCACCUCCCCUCCUGAAGGUGCCUUCUCAGUGGAAGACGAUGACCUUCCCCAAAGGAGGAUGACCUUCCCCAACAGAGGAGGUCAAGCAUAUAUAAGCAGCUGUGCUCCCCUUCUAAAACCUCCAAACAAGUUCUCAAACAACAAAUAGUAGACUGAAUUUGGCUUGCAGGCUGUCAUUAGCCUAAAUAGCAGAAGAGGAGAUUGAUGUGAGGAUUUUUUAUUU